rnacentral:pre_miRNA from 1 species
AGCGUUCUGAAUUCUUGCUGAGAUUUCGUCAGACAUCAGACUCUCAGGACUGAUGAGGCUCCCAAGAUGAUUAGAGCG